UACACAACGAGAUGAGGAUGGUCAUUGUCAUUUUCUGAGCUGCGAACGGGCAGAAAGCUACACAACGAGAUGAGGAUGGUCAUUGUCAUUUUCUGAGCUGCGAACGGGCAGAAAGCUACACAACGAGAUGAGGAUGGUCAUUGUCAUUUUCUGAGCUGCGAACGGGCAGAAAGCUACACAACGAGAUGAGGAUGGUCAUUGUCAUUUUCUGAGCUGCGAACGGGCAGAAAGCUACACAACGAGAUGAGGAUGGUCAUUGUCAUUUUCUGAGCUGCGAACGGGCA